UAUACUAAUUAAUAUGAUUGUUAAUUAUAUCGUUGGUGAUUACUUAGUAUAAC
rnacentral:tRNA from 1 species